rnacentral:snRNA from 2 species
CAGCUCAGGCCCCUCUUCUGAUAAGUGCUAAUCUUUCGCCUUUUACUAAAGAUUACCGUGGGGAGGGGCCAAUGAGCCUCUAGGCCUAUUUUUGGGAGGCCGCUACCGUAUGGUAGAGGC